CAUGAAUAUUGUAUUUAGCUUUCUCCAUCCACAGAAGAAAAGCCAGUGUUUCAUUUGGCACUCUCUACUUAUUAAACUGUUCUUCUGCAUUGCUUCCCAGCUUCAGCUCUGCAACUCCUGAGCAAGCCAAAAACAAUCCAUCUCACCUCAAUCCUUCCUUAAAAAAGAAAAAGCCAUCACAAAACCCAGAAAUACAAACCUGAUACCCCUAAGAAGUACAUUCUUCUCUCUUUCUCAUUAUUCAGCAAAUGCACUUAGAGGUUAUAUUGGUUAAACCAGAUCCUCAGCUGGUUUAAGUUUACCUAGCUUGAGUGAGUUCAGUGAAGUUGUCUCAAUUUACAGCAGCUGACAAUUUGGCCCUCAUUAUUAAAGGCUUUAAAUAAUAUAGGAUCAGCUAGUCUUUGGAGUUGUGCUCUGUUUCAGUGGUGGGGAUUAGUGGUCUGGAAGGCUGGAAUAGCUGACCAUCACUGGAGAUAAGUUGGAAGGAAUGGGUACUUUCAGCUUUCUCUGCUAAGAAGCUGCUGGUGGCUGUGCUGUCUGAAAAGUUCUCUGGGUGUAGUAUCACAUACAUUUGGGAGCAGAACUGUGCCUGGCCCUCAAGCUGUCCAUCAGCCCUUGGCAGGGCAAUUUCCAUGAGGCCAUAGCUGCUGUGGAAAUCUGACUCAUACAGAUCUGUAUAUUUCUGUAGAAAUAUAUGCCUGGGAAAAGGCUGUAAAGAUCCUGGCCACCAUGUUUACCUUCAACACCAAAGACUUGCUUCAGAAGGAGAGGACACAGAAUGUUGUGCUGGCCCCCAAAGUGAAGGUGCGUAGGAAUGGAGAUUGAUUUAACCUCUACUGCACAGAGGAGAGAUCUGGUGGAUGUCCUACAAAUGUCAUUGACAAGGCAGGUAGGAUUUGAGAGCCGCAGCCCAAGAAGAAAAGGGAUAGAGACCCACAGCAUGCCUCACCCGAGCCCAUGGAGCCUCCACGCCUGUCACCCAUGGAAAUCAAUUUCCUGUUGAAUGGUGCCCGUAGACAAGAACUAGAUGCUCAAAGUCCCAUUGUAGCUUGACACAAUGAAAAUAAAACCCGGGGACAAUACA
ensembl:lncRNA